rnacentral:rRNA from 1 species
CAGUAGCCGCGGGAAUACGAAGGGGGCUAGCGUUGUUCGGAAUCACUGGGCGUAAAGCGCACGUAGGCGGAUACUUAAGUCAGGGGUGAAAUCCCGGGGCUCAACCUCGGAACUGCCUUUGAUACUGGGUAUCUUGAGUCCGGGAGAGGUUGGUGGAACUCCGAGUGUAGAGGUGAAAUUCGUAGAUAUUCGGAAGAACACCAGUGGCGAAGGCGGCCAACUGGCCCGGUACUGACGCUGAGGUGCGAAAGCGUGGGGAGCAAACAGGAUUAGAUACCCCCGUAGUCCCUGUCUCUUAUAC